rnacentral:rRNA from 1 species
CCUACGGGAGGCAGCAGUGGGGGAUAUUGCACAAUGGUGGAAACUCUGAUGCAGCGACGCCGCGUGAGGGAAGACGGUCUUCGGAUUGGAAACCUCUGUUUUUGGGGAAGAAAAUGACGGUACGCAAAGAGGAAGCUCCGGCUAACUACGUACCGGAAGCCGCGGUACUACGUAGGGAGCGAGUGUUGUACGGAAUUACUGGGUGAAAAGGGAGCGUAGGCGGGUGCGAAAGUUGAAUGUUAGAUCUACCGGCUUAAAUGGUAGCUGCAUUCCAAACUUCUUGUCUUGAGUGAAGUAGAGGCAGGCGGAAUUCGUAGUGUAGCGGUGAAAUGCGUAGAUAUUAGGAGGAACACCAGUGGCGAAGGCGGCCUGCUGGGCUUUAACUGACGCUGAGGCUCGAAAGCGUGGGGAGCAAACAGGAUUAGAUACCCCUGUAGUC